rnacentral:rRNA from 1 species
UGUGCCAGCAGCCGCGGUAAUAGUAGGGUGCAAGCGUUAAUCGGAAUUACUGGGCGUAAAGCGAGUGCAGGCGGUUUGUUAAGCUAGAUGUGAAAGCCCCGGGCUCAACCCGGGAAUUGCGUUUAGAACUGGCCAAGCUAGAGUGUGUCAGAGGGGGGUAGAAUUCCACGUGUAGCAGUGAAAUGCGUAGAGAUGUGGAGGAAUACCGAUGGCGAAGGCAGCCCCCUGGGAUAACACUGACGCUCAUACUCGAAAGCGUGGGUAGCAAACAGGAUUAGAUACCCUGGUAGUCCACGCCCUAAACGAUGACAAUUAGCUGUUGGGGAAUUAAAAGUCCUUGGUAGCGUAGCUAACGCGUGAAAUUGUCCGCCUGGGGAGUACGGUCGCAAGAUUAAAACUCAAAGGAAUUGACGGGGACCCGCACAAGCGGUGGAUGAUGUGGAUUAAUUCGAUGCAACGCGAAGAACCUUACCUAGCCUUGACAUGUACGGAAGUCCGAUGAAAGUUGGAUGUGCCUUCGGGAACCGUAACACAGGUGCUGCAUGGCUGUCGUCAGCUCGUGUCGUGAGAUGUUGGGUUAAGUCCCGCAACGAGCGCAACCCUUGUCAUUAGUUGCUACCAUUUAGUUGAGCACUCUAAUGAGACUGCCGGUGACAAACCGGAGGAAGGUGGGGAUGACGUCAAGUCCUCAUGGCCCUUAUGGCUAGGGCUUCACACGUCAUACAAUGGUCGGUACAGAGGGUAGCCAAACCGCGAGGUGGAGCCAAUCUCUUAAAGCCGAUCGUAGUCCGGAUCGCACUCUGCAACUCGAGUGCGUGAAGUCGGAAUCGCUAGUAAUCGUGAAUCAGAAUGUCACGGUGAAUACGUUCCCGGGCCUUGUACACACCGCCCGUCACACCAUGGGAGUGGGUUGCACCAGAAGUAGCUAGUCUAACCCUCGGGAGGACGGUUACCACGGUGUGAUUCAUGACUGGGGUGAAGUCGUAACAAGGUAACCGA